rnacentral:rRNA from 1 species
GCGGUAUUUUGACCGUGCGAAGGUAGCAUAAUCAUUAGUCUUUUAAUUGGAGGCUGGAAUGAAUGGUUGGACGAGAAGGAAGCUGUCUCUGUCUCGGAGAUUGAAUUUAACUUUUAAGUGAAAAGGCUUAAAUGAGUUAGAGGGACGAUAAGACCCUAUAAAGUUUGUACAUGAAGUUGAUUAAGAGUGAUUUAAGGUGUUAAAGUUUAUUAUCAGCAGGGUGUUUAGUUGGGGCGACUAGGAUAUAAAUUAUAUAACUGUUUUUUGUUUAAAUCAGAGAUAUUUGUUCAUAUGAUCCCUUUUUAGGAUUAGAGAAUAAAUUACUUUAGGGAUAACAGCGUAAUUUUUUUUAAGAGUUCUUAUCGACAAAAGAGUUUGCGACCUCGAUGUUGAAUUAAAAAUUUCUCUGUGGUGUAGCAGUUACAGAAGAAGGUCUGUUCGACCUUUAAAUUUUUACAUGAUUUGAGUUCAGACCGGCUAAA